rnacentral:rRNA from 1 species
GACGAACGCUGGCGGCGUGCUUAACACAUGUAAGUCGAACGGAUUGCUUGGUGCUUGCACUGAGUGGUUAGUGGCGAACGGGUGAGUAACACGUGAGUAACCUGCCCCCUUCUUUGGGAUAAGCACCUGAAAGGGUGUCUAAUACUGAUUAUUCUGCUGGAAUCGCAUGGUUUUGGUUGGAAAGGUUUUUCUGGUGGGGGAUGGGCUCGCGGCUUAUCAGCUUGUUGGUGGGGUAAUGGCUUACCAAGGCUUUGCCGGGUAACCGGCCUGAGAGGGUGACCGGUCACAUUGGGACUGAGAUACGGCCCAGACUCCUACGGGAGGAAGCAGUGGGGAAUAUUGCACAAUGGACGAAAGUCUGAUGCAGCGACGCCGCGUGAGGGAUGAAGGCCUUCGGGUUGUAAACCUUUUUCGCUUUUGACCAAGGCAGCAUUUUGGUGUUGUUGAGGGUAUGAGGUAAAGAAGCUCCGGCUAACUACGUGCCAGCAGCCGCCGUAAGAC